CUCUGGACCGACUCUAAAGAAAGGCAAAAGCCGAAUAUUUUAUGGAAUCCACAAGGACUUCCCGUGUGUGGCGGUGGUCGGGCUCGGUAAGCCCUGUGCAGGUGUGUGCGGGGCAGAAAACUGGGACGCCAGCAAGGAGAACAUCAGACAGGCAGUUUCGGCUGGCUGCCGGUUACUUCAGGACCUGGAGGUGAAGCAUGUGGACGUGGACGGCUGCGGUCAUGCCCAGUCAGCAGCAGAAGGCGCUGCUCUGGGUUUGUUCCAGUACGACCAACUUAAAUCCAAGAAGAAGACCAAAGUGACCACACAGCUUCAUGGGAGUGCGGACUCGGCUG